UACGGAGGUGGCAAGCGUUGUCCGGAUUUAUUGGGUUUAAAGGGUGCGUAGGCGGCCCUUUAAGUCAGUGCUGAAAUACUCUAGCUCAACUAGAGGGGUGGCAUUGAUACUGCGGGGCUUGAGUGGAGUAGAGGUAGGCGGAAUUGACGGUGUAGCGGUGAAAUGCGCAGAUAUCAGGAGGAACACCGGUGGCGAAGGCGGGUCUCUGGGCCGAUACUGACGCUGAGGAGCGAAAGCGUGGGGAGCGAACAGG
rnacentral:rRNA from 1 species